rnacentral:tRNA from 1 species
AGCGGGGUGGGGUAGCCAGGACGAACCCGCCGGGCUCAUAACCCGGAGAUCGGUCGUUCAAAUCGACCCCCCGCUACCA